UACGGAGGGUGCAAGCGUUAAUCGGAAUUACUGGGCGUAAAGCGCACGCAGGCGGUCUGUCAAGUCGGAUGUGAAAUCCCCGGGCUCAACCUGGGAACUGCAUCCGGAACUGUCAGGCCAGGGUGAAGGAGAGGAAGGUAGAAUUCCCGGUGUAGCGGUGAAAUGCGUAGAGAUCGGGAGGAAUACCAGUGGCGAAGGCGGCCUUCUGGACAAAGACUGACGCUCAGGUGCGAAAGCGUGGGGAGCAAACAGG
rnacentral:misc_RNA from 1 species